GACGAACGCUGGCGGCGUGCCUAAUACAUGCAAGUCGAACGCGUGGCGGACGGGUGAGUAAUGUCUGGGAAACUGCCCGAUGGCGGGGGAUACCUACUGGAAACGGUAGCUAAUACCGCAUACCAUCUGCUGUUCCCAGAUGGGAUUAGCUCGUAGGUGGGGUAACGGCUCACCUAGGCGACGAUCCCUAGCUGGUCUGAGAGGAUGACCAGCCACACUGGAACUGAGAAACGGUCCAGACUCCUACGGGAGGCAGCAGUGGGGAAUAUUGCACAAUGGGCGCAAGCCUGAUGCAGCCAUGCCGCGUGUAUGAAGAAGGCCUUCGGGUUGUAAAGUACUUUCAGCGAGGAGGCGUUACUCGCAGAAGAAGCACCGGCUAACUCCGUGCCAGCAGCCGCGGUAAUUC
rnacentral:rRNA from 1 species